rnacentral:tRNA from 1 species
GAAAUGGGAUGUUCAAGAAAAAGCUGCUAACUUUUAUCUUUAGCGGUUCAAUUCCGUUUCCAUUUCU